UGAGUCACUUUGUCUCUCUGGGCCUUUUAUUCCUUCUCUAUUUCCUAUGAGAGUGGGCUGCCAGUUGCCCACCACCUCUCUAGACUUCUAACUCCCAGGCAAGCUGAUCCGAAAUGCUGGAGAACAGAGAUGCUAAGGGUCUAUAUAAAUUUCUCCAUCCCAAGAGAAUGUUGGGACUGCCUGGCUAAUUCUAAGAAGUAAUAUUAUCCACUAAUUGAGUCUAAAUAGGAAGAAGAGACAAUAUUUUAUACUGGAGACCUUCCAAAUAGUCCUCUGGAGGCCAAAGACCAAAGCAGGGACUACCUACAGCACCCGCUCCAUGCUAGGCUCAGUGCUACAGGCCAGGAGUGCAUGAGCUCUUCCCCCUCUCUCCAAGCCUAUUGUAUUAAACCCCAUGUCUUCAAGCCAACCACACCUGUGCAUGCUCCACUGUCAACACUGAGAAGUGAGAGGAAAUGAACAUUUGUGGAGUGCCUACUGCCCAGCACUGGGAAAGGCAUUUUAUUUGUGUUACAGGAUGCUGAGCAAGACUUUUCGUAUUGUUCCAAAAACAGAAGGAAGGACCCACAGCUGAAUCACCAACUGGAAGGCAGUGCUGUUGUGAGCAGUGAUUCCUCCAGAGAGGUGUGAGUCUGUUCCCACCUGGAAGCCAAGUGAGAAAGCUCCAAGAUCUGGGAUUGCUAUAAGACACAGAGUCUGGCCCCUCAACCCCUAGGGAUGUCUUGGGUCCACCCUGGCAGGAAAUACACCUGGAGAGGAGGCACAUGGCAGAGGAGAGUCCAGAAGAGCCUACACCUCAUCUGUUUGACAAGGUGGAUGAUGAGAAUCCACCAAAGGUCAAGUAACAUCAUGGAAGGUGGCUAGACUGGACCUGUCUUUCCUGUGGACCCACCCGGGCAAAGGGAGGCGGUAGUGACAGCAGUGACAACUGAGUGGAGGUGGAAGAGGGGAGUAUCCAUCAGGGAGUUACCCAAGUCCCCUUGCCUUUACCUUUCAGCACACAAUGCCUGACUUCCAACUGCCAGCACCUGUGUCUCUUUGUCCGCAGGCUUCCUCUGGCCACUGAAGCCCACUGUACCCACAAAGAAAUGCUGGGAAAUGAGCAACCCCAAGAAGCAGCCCCUAUUCAUUGACAGGUGGGUAUUGGCAUAUAAAUACCCCAGCUCCUUCAUUUGGAUAGAAUAACUCCGAGUCUCUUCCUCUACACUGUAUUAGUUACCUUUUGCUGCGUAACAGUCUACCUCCCAAACAUAGCAACUUAAUACAACAAUAAAUAUUUAUGUCACAGUUUCUGUGGGUCAGGAAUUCAGGAGCAACUUAACUGGGUGGGUCUGGCUCCAGACCACUCAUGAGACUGUAGUCAAGACGUCAUCUGGGGCCGCAGUCAACCGAGGGCUUGACUGGGGCUGAAUGAUCCGCUUCCAAGAUGUCUCAUUCGCCAUCUAGCAAGUGCGGCUGUUGGCAGGAGGCCUAGGUCAGUCACCGCAUAGACCUCUCCAUAGGACUUCUCCAGCCUCCUCAAGCUGUGUGACUGGCUUCCCCCAGGGCUAGUAAUCCAAGAGAAAGAGAGAUCAAAGGGGGAACAGCAAAGUCUUUUACGGCCUUGGCUCAAUAGUCAGAUGCUGUGUUAAUUAUCUCUUGCUACCAAACAAAUUACCCCAAGGCUUUGCCAUUAACUCACAGUUUCUAUGGGUCAGGAAUCUGGGCACAGCUUUCCUGGGUGCCUCUGACUCAGGGUCUCUCUCAAGGCGACAGUCAAGGUGUUGGCCCAGCCUGCAGGCAUCUCAAAGCUCGACUGGAGGAGCAUCCACUGCAGGCUGGCUCACUGGGUGUUGGCACCCUCAGUUCCUCGCCCUGUGGGCCACUCCACAGGGCAGUUCACAACACGUGGUAGCUGGUUUUUCCUCAGAGCCAGUGAGAAAAAGAGCAAGAGAUCACAAGCGAGAAGAAAGACAGGGUCUUUCUGUAACCUAAUCUCAGAAAUGACGUUCAUUGCCUUAGACAUAUUCUACUGGUCAGGAAUGAGUCAUUUCUAUUGCUAACCAGUGGCCCACACUGGAGGAAGGGACUGUCCAGGGGUAGGACCACAGCAGGUAGAGAUAUCUGGGUCAUCUCAGAGGCUGCCUGCCACAGAUAGCGCGUUCUAUUGGACACACAGGCCACGCACGUUUUUCACUGCUGGGCAGAAAAUUACACAAGGGCAUGACCACCAGGAUUUGAGGAGCGCUGGGGGCCAACUUGAGCACUGGCUCCCACAAAACUGUUCCACACUGUUCCCCAGUGAGAUUAAGCAGCUGUUGAUAAUGCAUCCUUGAGUGUCUGCCUUACCUUUCCUGGUUCACCUCCCCA